rnacentral:rRNA from 1 species
GACGAACGCUGGCGGCGCGCCUAACACCUGCAAGUCGAACGGAGUGGCGGACGGGUGAGUAACACCUGAGCAACCUGCCUAUCAGAGGGGGAUAACGAUUGGAAACGAUCGCUAAUACCGCAUGCUGAUAGAUGGGCUCGCGUCCGAUUAGAUAGUUGGUGGGGUAACGGCCUACCAAGUCGACGAUCGGUAGCCGGACUGAGAGGUCGAACGGCCACAUUGGGACUGAGACACGGCCCAGACUCCUACGGGAGGCAGCAGUGGGGGAUAUUGCACAAUGGGGGAAACCCUGAUGCAGCGACGCCGCGUGAGGGAAGACGGUCCUUGGAUUGCAAACCUCUGUCUUCGGGGACGCGGUACCCGAGGAGGAAGCCACGGCUAACUACGUGCCAGCAGCCGCGGUAAUACGUAGGUGGCAAGCGUUGUCCGGAACUACUGGGUGUAAAGGGAGCGUAGGCGGGCAGGCAAGUCAGGCGUGAAAUAUAUCGGCUCAACCGGUAACGGCGCUUGAAACUGCAGGUCUUGAGUGAAGUAGAGGCUGGCGGAAUUCCUAGUGUAGCGGUGAAAUGCGUAGAUAUUAGGAGGAACACCAGUGGCGAAGGCGGCCAACUGGGCUUUUACUGACGCUGAGGCUCGAAAGUGUGGGGAGCAAACAGGAUUAGAUACCCUGGUAGUCCACACCGUAAACGAUGAUUACUAGGUGUGGGGCCGUGCGGAGUUAACGCAAUAAGUAAUCCACCUGGGGAGUACGGCCGCAAGGUAACGGGUCAAAGGAAUUGACGGA